rnacentral:rRNA from 1 species
UACAGAGGUCCCAAGCGUUGUUCGGAUUCACUGGGCGUAAAGGGUGCGUAGGCGGUCGGGUAAGUCUGAUGUGAAAUCUCACAGCUUAACUGUGAAACUGCAUUGGAUACUAUCCGGCUAGAGGAAUGGAGGGGAGACUGGAAUACUUGGUGUAGCAGUGAAAUGCGUAGAUAUCAAGUGGAACACCAGUGGCGAAGGCGGCGAUCUGGGAAGAUACCGACGCUGAGGUGCCAAAGCGUGGGGAGCAAACAGG